CCGUACAGCUACCAUCGAUGUCAGUGACAGCUGGAGUGCGCGUGUGGCGCGUGCUGUGAAAGUGUCGAACCCACAUUUGAACUGCUCGCGGCGUCCUUGAUCUUGAGAUCGGACCGUUGUGAACGGCUUCACUUUUCAGAUACAAUAAUCGUGACGCUUUGUGAAAAAAGAGCCGCCACGUUUGUGUAUGUUGGUUGUGUCUUCUACCUAUGUAGGUGCGAUGAUCUUCACUUUGGCGCUAAUUUGGUGUGGGCGUACCGUAAUUGUCAUCUCGCAAUGAAUCCCCCGCCAGCAGCUGAUCAACAAACGCCACGCGUUGUGUAACGAUAAUCGUGCUCAUAGCGGAAGAAGUUGAUUUCGGUUUGUUUACUUUGAUGUGGGCUGCGUACGGUGCGAUGUGAAUGGCUGCGUACGGAGCAUUUUUGAAUUGCAGUGAAAUCUCCUCAUAGCGUGGUUUAGUUGAAAGUGUGUGAAAGGAAUUAUACCAUUUUCGUUCCGCAAACGUGCGCCGGUACGUCCAUCUAAAGAGUAAGGUAAAUUCCUUCAUCGUCUUCGCCGGAAAAUGAUUUCAACACUCCAUCUUCAAGAUGACAGACAGUGUAAGGGGUUAAGGAUUUAUCAUAGCAAAGAAAAUCUCUCUCCAAAAAAAAAACAAAAUAAAACGCCGGGAAAACGAUCCCGGGCGAACGAAACGCUGGAAACAAUAAGAACAAGGAAGAGGGGGGAAAAACAAAACCCGGCGAACGCAAAACGAUGCUCCAUUUUAGUUGGUGUGUGCGUGUGUGUGUGGAAGCUACUACGACAACGACGUCGGCAAUGAUGAUGAUGAUGAUGACGACUACGACGACGCGUCUUUGGGGACCGGCAGCAACGAAAAGCUUUCCGCCGGCGAAAUCAGUUUCCAUCUGGACGGUAACGCGUUUGGUUGCGUGUCGAGUUUUUCCGAUCGAGUGGCGUUGAUGCGCACGGCAUAAAAGUGGCAACGAACGUCGGUGUUUAAUGUGCCUUUUUGGGAAGGUGGGUGAAGGUGAAAAAGUGUAAUGAAAAUGUGUCGAAACUUUUGUUUGCAAAGUGUGAUAAAAAUUCGAAAGAAUAUUAAUUACGAGCGAAAGUUUUGUUGAGAUUUAUUUGCAAAAAGUGCGUCGUGAUCACAGCACGGUGUAUGUCGAAGUAAUUUGGUGUGAAUUUCAAAUUUAUUUUAAAAUAUAUUUAAACAUCCUUCGUUAUGGUUCCAUUACUUCGAUUCUGGUGAUAAAAUAGUGAUAAAAUCAAACAAAAUUUCCCUCCCCAAGUGAACGUGUAAUUUAAUAAUGGUUUUUUUGAUAGCAAAACAAAACCAAAACCCGAGCUCAUUUUAGUCGUUUUAGUCGUUUGCAUUAGAGAGGAGCAACAAAAAAGGCAAUCUACUCAAAACAAUGUGCAAGUGGUGCAAAAACGGUGAGGCUUUAAAGCAAUGUGAGUGCCGACAGACCCAAAUUCGAUGUACGACGAUCGUCAGCCCCCGAGGCUAGGUUAACCAUUUUGUGCUUUUUUUUUCACCGGUUCCCGUGCCGUGUGGGUUGUGCAGUGAAUUUUUAAUGAUUCAAUACGUUCCGGUACGCGGAUCGAAAGUUUAGGGAGCUGGAAUUGAAAUCCUUGACGCGUACGAUGAACGAAACAAUGCUAGCAACCGCCACACUGGUGACCGACUCCGGUUCCGGUGAGCCACCGUAUGUGGAGACGAACCUUACCGGCAUGUCGGUGGAAAAUCCUUCACUGGUGGAAGGUUUGCUAGCGCUGGCCAUGAAUGCGAGUGGUGCCGAACGGUGCCGUUUGCAGCAACAGGCCGAGGAGCUACUGCAGGACGUUGCCUGUCCGUCCUUCUUCGAUAUGGUGUCGUGUUGGCCCCGAACGCCUCCCGGUACGUUGGCCGUGUUACCGUGCUUUGCAGAGCUGAAGGGUGUGCAGUAUGACAGUUCGCAAAAUGCAACCCGUUUCUGUAACAUCGACGGUAUCUGGGAUAAUUACACCGACUACGAUCGCUGCCAGCACAUCGACCAACCGUCCCCGUUGCCAAGCUUCGAGCCGGAAAUCGAACUGCCAACGCUGAUCUACUUCGUCGGCUACUCAAUUAGCUUGGCCGCACUGGUGCUGGCCGUGGCAGUACUGGUGUAUUUCAAUAACUAUUCUGCCCGCAGGGAUUUACGCUGUCUGCGCAACACUAUCCACGUCAACCUGUUCCUCACCUACAUCAUGUCCUCGAGCCUUUGGAUACUUAUACUAUCGUUACAGAUCACCGUAAAACUGGAAGUGGCUGGAUGCAUAUUUCUCGUAACGCUCUUUCACUACUUCAGUACAACCAACUUCUUCUGGAUGCUGGUAGAAGGACUUUACCUUUACAUGCUGGUGGUGCAAACGUUUUCCGGUGACACGUUGCGCUUUCGAAAGUACGCCAUUAUUGGGUGGGGAGGUCCGUUAAUCUUUGUAGGAGCGUGGGCCAUCGCAAAACCGUUCUUCGGUUCCACCUCGAAUUUGGAACAUCCUAAUAAACUCGAAAUAGAAUGCUCCUGGAUGCGUGAAUCUCACAUCGAUUGGAUCAUCCAGGGCCCGUCCUGUGCCGUGUUGGUUAUCAAUCUCAUCUUCCUGCUGCGCAUCAUGUGGGUGCUGAUCACGAAACUCCGCUCGGCAAAUACGGUGGAAACGCGCCAAUAUCGGAAAGCCUCGAAAGCACUGCUUGUGCUGAUACCGCUGCUAGGCAUCACCUACCUCAUCGUUAUCUAUGGCCCAGGCGAGGGUGGGGUUGGAAGCCACAUAUUUGCCGUCACGAGAGCCAUUCUUCUCAGCACACAGGGAUUUGUCGUGUCGCUUCUGUACUGUUUCCUAAAUUCCGAAGUACGCCAAACCCUGCGACAUCAUUUCUAUCGCUGGCGGGACGAACGGAACAUCCUUUCCGGGAAAGUUAACAAUCACCAUCGUAGGCCAACGUUCAGCAAGGACAACUCACCCCGUUCGCGCACGGAAAGUACACGUUUAACAACGACCACUUCUGCACCAUUAAUUUAAUCCUGAGUUCCUGUGCUUAGCGAUGUGAUACGGUUUGAAAACCAACUAUUACACAAAAGGUUCUCCCAGUUUUCCCGACCAGAAUCGAUGAAUUUUCCACCCGUUCCAUUAUCGUAAAUCCUGUGUAUCCGAUGCAUUGAUCAGUUGGAAAAGCAAAGAUCACGCUGUGAGCGGCUUCAUACGUGGAUGAAACAGUGUUGCAUGUGAAAAAGAGAGCAAGAAAGCUAGUGAGCAAGCAAGGAUUAAAAGAGAAGCAAAGCUAAACUAAUUAAAUUACACGAAGCUAAAAAAAACAAAGCUGAGAAAAACAGAAACCAGCAUCACUGUAAACAAUUUACCAUUUCUCUCGAUGUAAACAAAGUGAGAUAGUGUGCGAUGUGCCUGUAAGGCAUAUCAACCAGCCAGACCUUUGCCAGCAAGGUGAUAAAGUUAUAUUUUUUCACUACACACACACACUCAACUUAAAUGCAAAACUGUUUAUCGAUGUUGAAAUAUGUACACUUGACGAGCAAAUCAAUCACCAGCAUCAUUCGUAAGCGUAUAGGAGGAAAUGAUCAUGUAUGUAAGGAGUUUUGUCUUAGAUGAAAUAUAAAACUGUUAUAAGCUAAAACUUGCCAAACUGUGCGGAAAAAUAUAUAGGAUAAACAUUCAAUCUAAAUGUGUGAUUCGCUGUGUAUGCUACACAACCGAUAGCAACAAAUGUAAAAUGGCCAAAGUAGGUCGAAUGUGUUAUUUAUAAGAGAUGUCUCUAUGAAGCCUGGUUAUUAACGAGAUCAUGUCCAGAACAGUUUUUGAAUGUAUUUUUGCUGUACAUAGGAAUACAAAUAUAUGAAAUCUCGAUGUACGCCAAA